rnacentral:rRNA from 1 species
AAUUCGACGCUACGCGAAGAACCUUACCUGGGCUUGACAUGCUUGAGAACGGACCAAGAAACUGGUCCCUCCAUGACCGCAAGGUCAUGGCUCAUCCACAGGUGCUGCAUGGUUGUCGUCAGCUCGUGUCGUGAGAUGUAAGGUUAAGUCCUUGAACGAGCGCAACCCCUGUCGCUAGUUGCUAACCAGCAAUGGUGCACCCUAGCGAUACUGCCAGCUAAAAGUUGGAGGAAGGAGGGAUGACGUCAAAUCCUCAUGGCCUUUAUGUCCAGGGCUACACACAUGCGACAAUGGUCGGUACAACGGGUCGCAACACCGCGAGGUGAAGCCAAUCCCUAAAAGCCGCUCUCAGUUCGGAUUGCAGGCUGCAACUCGCCUGCAUGAAGCCGGAAUCGCUAGUAAUCGCGGAUCAGCAUGCCGCGGUGAAUACGUUCCCGGGCCUU